GGAUGUGAGGGCAAUCAGGCUGCAACAUCUGUUAUUCCAUUGAUCGCCAGGGUUGAUUCGGCUUAUCUGGCUGGCUAGGUGGGUGUCCCCUUCCUCCCUCACUGCUUCAUGUGCGUCCCUCCCCAAGCUGAGCACUCGGUUGAUCAAAGAGGACGACCAUCCCCGAUAGAGGAGGACUGUUCUCCUCGGUCAAGGGUAUACGAGUAGCUGCGCUCUCCCGCUAGAACCUCCAAACAAGCUCUCAGGUAAAAAACUUAUCUAACUGAAUACCUAAGAUCUGUGCAUUUCACUGUUUCUAAGUUUACUUCAGAAAAAAAUGUUUUUAGUUAUAUUU
rnacentral:snRNA from 1 species